GUAGGGUGCGAGCGUUAAUCGGAAUUACUGGGCGUAAAGCGUGCGCAGGCGGCUUUGCAAGACAGAUGUGAAAUCCCCGGGCUCAACCUGGGAACUGCAUUUGUGACUGCAAGGCUAGAGUACGGCAGAGGGGGAUGGAAUUCCGCGUGUAGCAGUGAAAUGCGUAGAGAUGUGGAGGAACACCGAUGGCGAAGGCAGCCCCCUGGGCCGAUACUGACGCUCAUGCACGAAAGCGUGGGUAGCAAACAGGAUUAGAUACCCUGGUAGUCCACGCCCUAAACGAUGUCAACUAGGUGUUGGGUGGGUAAAACCAUUUAGUACCGUACKAACGCGUGAAGUUGACCGCC
rnacentral:rRNA from 1 species